UAAUGUGGUAAUUAUAUUUCGGAAGAAUCAAUAUUAUCAAUUUUCCCACCUACCUCCUUUUUCUCCUUCAUCCACCAAAACGGCUUCCAGUCCUUCCACUCAGAGUAAAACUCAUCAGAUCAAAGGAGAACUGAAGGGCAUUGAGGGGGGAACCAAACGAGUAGUGUACAAGCAGGGCAUCGAAUGGUUUGAGGGAACCGUUGGAGAAGUUUAAGGAGACAAAUUGAGUACCCGAGGAUUGCGUCGCUGUCGUAGUUUUGUAAGCAAACUGGGCAUUUUGGUAGCUCCAUCAUCACCGACCACCACCACGACCCUCUUCCGUCAUUCAAUUGGUUAAUGAAUUCUUUCACUCGCCUCCACGUCCGCCGCUCCUCGCUACUGCGAUCGACCACCAAUGGCUUUUACGGCUUUAAUCCUUGAAACCCCAAAAUAUUUCAACGAUGAUGGUCCCUUUCAGACUCAAAAUCCCAAAUCUCACCAACACUGGUCUGUACGACUUCGAUCCUUGAAACUAAAAGGAUUUCACCAACAUAUAAGUAUUAUGUAUAUUGGUGAUUCCCUUUGCCUUUGCCACUGGCAAAAUUAUUAGAGAUUGAAGAAAGUGGUCUACAAUAAUGACUCAGUUGACUUAAAAGAAACGGUGUGUUGAAGCAAAAUAUUGGAACUUGAAAAGCUUGUUCCUUCAAUCUAGCUGCACGAAAGAAAUGUCUCGGCAGCAAGAAAUGGUACCACUUUGGGAGGAACUUGCUACCUUACACCUCUUAUUAGAGCCAUCAUGGCUAAUGCUUAUGGGGCACCUUCAGCUUUUGAUUAGUUGCAAUUGGCUGCACUAAUGGUCUUUCUAUCAUUUCACGGGGAACAAUAUCGUCGUCCUCACGAGUGAUUUCGCUUGUUGUCACUGAAACUUGAAGAUCACCAUUGUCAUAGAUUGUUGUCCCUUCAAAAAAAUAAAGUCCAAAACCAGUAUUCAUAAAAGCAAAAAAAAAAUAUGUGCCUUAAAACAUAAAUAAAAUUCCAAAAAGAUACAUUUGUAAAAAGUAUGAACAGUUCUUGACGUAUUGUUUCCAUAUUCAUAGUUUGGUCACGUGAAUACAUGAUAUGAUUCUUAAAGAUAAACUCCCAACAUUUUCUUUCAAAUGAAUAGUGCUUGUUUCAAUCUUAGUGAAACUGGUUUUCAGAAAAUGUGAGGUCAAGAAAAAGUUUUGGUCCCCUAAGCAUUUUACUGAUAGUAUAACGACAUUAGUCUUUUGUAUCAUCUGAUUUCAAUUGUAAUUUAAAAUGUCUCAUAAGCCCUUAGAGACAAAUUUAAAGACCCCAUUAACCACAAAGUUGGGUU